rnacentral:lncRNA from 1 species
UCUAACCCAGAAUUAUCUCUUAAAUUCCAGGCUCUUCCAUCCAAAGGAUCCAAGAAGUCUGCCUUCAAAUGUCCCUUAGGAAUUUCAACAUCAACUUGCCCCAAAUGGAAACCAUUAACUCCUCACCCCAACUCCUUCCUCCAUAUUCUGACCUUUAAGUAAAAGAGGUACAACCGAUGGUCUGUAUGGACUAGAGCUGUAGCUACCCUCUGAAAUCUUCCCACCGAAAUAGCAAUAGUCCCACUCUCCUGAACUGUAGCACAUUGAAUACUCUCAAUACUAAGGAUACCUGUGUUCUUCCUAAAAAUCCAAUAAAAUUACGUUACAAUAAAAGGAUUAAAAAAAAAAAGUAUGAACGAUCAAGGACAAAUCCACCAUGGAGAGAGGACAACUACACAACCUCAGAAGACGGAAAGUAGAAACUAGUUUGACCAACUAAAGAAACCUUGAACCCAGGCUGGCAAUGGGAAAAACCCAGAACAUGUUGAUUAACAAGGAUGAACCCCAGAAGAGCUCAAGAAGGAAGGCGCCAGGCACCCCUUGAAGACACAGUCGAAUAAAUCACAUUUCAGACAAUGGGAGGUCUCAUUAGCACAGCCUUCUGGCUCAUGCUUUCUGUUGGAAAGCGUGGAGAGACUGUGCUCCACCAAAGCAAAAGAGGAAGCCAAAAACUGACGACCUGGGAUUUAAUGAAGGAGGGAAGCUCAGGGCUUGGGGCGUCCUGAGCUGUUGAUGAAGGAAUGAAUAUCCCAGCACUUGGAAGUCAAAGAAUUUGCUUGAAAUCACACGACUCAUCUAGUGAGUGUUGAAGCUAGGAAACCAAACCCAGGCAUGUUGGAUGCGAAGGCCACAACGGAACAUUUCUGUAAUUGUGGAAUUCUAGGCUGCAGGAUGCCUACUGCAGAUAGAAACAGCUCCAAGACACAAGCUUACAAUGAGAAUGAAAGGAGAUAGCGCCCAAUUCAGUGCCUAGCACACGGGAACCUAGCUAUUGCUGUCUUCUAGUUAAAAAUAUACACCGUAAUUGUUGCCUCUACCAAAUGUUCUGUAAAGGAUUAGUAUUUUAGCUGGACCUGGAAAGGUAAUAAUUUUGGUGGUCGGUAUCCUAGUCAGCUUGGGAGACUAUAACAAAAUCCCAUGGACUCAGUGACAUAAACAACAGAUAGCCACUUCUCAUAGUUCUGAAGUCUGGGAUAUGCAGGACCAACGUUUUGGCAUGUUCAGUUCCUGGUGGGGGUUUCUCUUCCCGCUAUCCAGAUGGCCACCUUCUCACUGUGUCCUCACAUGGCAGAAAAAGAGAGAGAGAGGAGAGAGAGAGAGAGAGAGAGAGAGAGAGAGAGAGAGAGAGAGAGAAAGAUACACAGACAGACUAACCCCAUCUUGGGAAUCCCAACCUCAUGACCUCAUCUAUGCCUAAUCGCCCACCUCCAAAUAUGGUAGCACCCCUCAUCCAUGAGGGAUAUAUUCUAAGACCUCCAAUUGGUACCUAAAUCCAAGGACAGUACUGAACUAUAUGCAUAUUCUGUUUUUCCAAUACAUAGAUAUCUAUAAUAAAAAUUUAAUUUAUAAAUUAGGCAGAGUAAGAGAUUAACAAUAACUAAUAAUAAAGUAAUACUAUAUUGUAAUGUAAAUUAUGUGUUUCUCCUCUCUUAAAAUAUGUUAUUGUACCGUGCUCACCCUUCUUCCUGUAAUGAUGCGAGAUCAUGCAGUGCCUAGGUGACGAGAUGAAGUGAGGUGAGGGGCGCAGGUGUUGUGACAUAGCAUCAGGCAAGGAGGAUCAUGGAGCCAUGAAGACGCAGGUAGUGAAACUGCACAG